AUUGAACGCUGGCGGCAGGCCUAACACAUGCAAGUCGAGCGGAGCGGCGGACGGGUGAGUAAUGCCUAGGAAUCUGCCUGGUAGUGGGGGAUAACGUCCGGAAACGGGCGCUAAUACCGCAUACUAUCAGAUGAGCCUAGGUCGGAUUAGCUAGGUGGUGGGGUAAAGGCCUACCAAGGCGACGAUCCGUAACUGGUCUGAGAGGAUGAUCAGUCACACUGGGACUGAGACACGGUCCAGACUCCGACGGGAGGCAGCAGUGGGGAAUAUUGCACAAUGGGCGAAAGCCUGAUGCAGCCAUGCCGCGUGUGUGAAGAAGGUCUUCGGAUUGUAAAGCACUUUAGGUAGCGAGGCGGUACCGACAGAAUAAGCACAGGCUAACUUCGUGCCAGCAGCCGCGGUAAUAC
rnacentral:rRNA from 1 species